AUUGAACGCUGGCGGCAGGCCUAACACAUGCAAGUCGAACGAGUGGCGGACGGGUGAGUAAUGUCUGGGAAACUGCCCGAUGGAGGGGGAUAACAACUGGAACCGGUAGCUACUACCGCGUAUCAUCAGAUUUGCCCAGAUGGGAUUGGCUAGUAGGUGGGGUAACGGCUCACCUUGGCGACGAUCCCUAGCUGGUCUGCGAGGAUGACCAGCCACACGGGAACGGGGACACGGUCCAGACUCAUACGGGAGGCAGCAGUGGGGAAUAUUGCACAAUGGGCGCAAGCCUGAUGCAGCCAUGCCGCGUGUAUGAAGAAGGCCUUCGGGUUGUAAAGUACUUUCAGCGGGGAGGCGUUACCCGCAGAAGAAGCACCGGCUAACUCCGUGCCAGCAGCCGCGGUAAUUC
rnacentral:rRNA from 1 species